GAUGAACGCUGGCGGCGUGCCUAAUACAUGCAAGUCGAGCGAACAGACGAGGAGCUUGCUCCUCUGACGUUAGCGGCGGACGGGUGAGUAACACGUGGAUAACCUACCUAUAAGACUGGGAUAACUUCGGGAAACCGGAGCUAAUACCGGAUAAUAUAUUGAACCGCAUGGUUCAAUAGUGAAAGACGGUUUUGCUGUCACUUAUAGAUGGAUCCGCGCCGCAUUAGCUAGUUGGUAAGGUAACGGCUUACCAAGGCGACGAUGCGUAGCCGACCUGAGAGGGUGAUCGGCCACACUGGAACUGAGACACGGUCCAGACUCCUACGGGAGGCAGCAGUAGGGAAUCUUCCGCAAUGGGCGAAAGCUUGACGGAGCAACGCCGCGUGAGUGAUGAAGGUCUUCGGAUCGUAAAGCUCUGUUAUUAGGGAAGAACAAAUGUGUAAGUAACUAUGCACGUCUUGACGGUACCUAAUCAGAAAGCCACGGCUAACUACGUG
rnacentral:rRNA from 1 species